AUGCUUCACCUCCUUGCUCCUGUCUCCUUCCCAAGCCAUAUCGAUCCACCUGUAACCAAGAUAAGGGAGUGUGGGAUACUAGCCCGUACGUACGUGGACAGACUGGAACUAGGACCCCAGCCGUCGUCGUCUCCCUCGGCUGAACAACUAGCCCAUGACGGCAGCAGGGCAGUAGCAGUAGCGGUAGCGGUGCCGGUGCUCCCCAAUUCCCCUUCCUCCCUCCGCGACCAUGCCGCGCGGUCUUCUGAGCGGGCAUAUACUGUGCAGAUCGCUUCUCGCCUUCUCGCAGAUUGGCGCGCGCAUGCAUGCUAA
rnacentral:rRNA from 1 species